AUGAGGCUGACCUGGGAUCAGCUUCCACCCGGAAGAGAUCGCGGACGCUACCGGGCAGGACGCCACGGAGGGAAGGAAAGACUAAAGAAAAGGAUUUAUGAAGAGAAAAAAGCAUCGCAAAGCAGGAGAGAGCCCUCGACUUCACCCCCCGGAUUACACCUGAAGGCUGACAUUUAGUAUCUUCCUCUCUGUGGAAACAAUUGCUGCACUAAAUGUAAACAUUUCGGGUAUUCUGGGGGAUCAAACAUACAUCUUGCCCUCCACUAGACCGUGUUGCUGUCUCUGCCUCAGCUGGGGGGAGAGCAGUGCUGCCCUGUUCUUACACCCCCACCCCUGGGCAGGAUGUAGCAGUCACAUGGCAUACAUAUCCAGAUAAGGGAGAAUCUAGUCUAUUAAUCUACAAGUCAAAGACCCCCUCAGCACCCAUCCCUGUGCAGUGGAGCGGCCGAGUGAAGCUGUCUGAUGAAGUCUCCUCUGGAAACGCCUCUCUGCUAAUCUCUGCGCUCAGACUGGAGGACACUCGGGAUUACACGUGUAUAGUGGAGAUCAAUGGGAUAUGUGUCACGUUCAGGGCUGUCAAUCUGACAGUUCAAGGACCUCCAAAGAGAGAUUCAACUACUUCAAGAAAAACAAAGACCAUAAACAAGAAAACUAGACCAUCAGCAACCCCGACAACGAGACCAUCAGCAACCCCAUCAACUAGACCAUCAGUAACCCCGACAGCUAGACCAUCAGCAACCCCGACAACUAGACCAUCAGCAACUCCCGCUAUCCUCUCUGCAGUAGCCGUCUCUGCUGUCAUCAGCAUCAUAGGUGCUGCAGUCUUUGUCAUUUUAAAGUACAAAAGGAGAGCAGGUAACAGAUUAAGCUUUUCAUUUGUUUUACCACAACCUACAAUGGGAGCUGUUUAAACCCUGCCCUGGAUCUCUCAGCUCCGGUCUAACUGGACUCUAUUGAGACAACACCUCCUCCACCCUGCUUGUAAAGGCACAGUCUCACCUGUAGGGGGCAGUUUAAAGCAGUUCAAACCCUGCCCUUGGUCUCUUGGCUCUUGUCUAACUGGACUCUAUUUCCACAACUCCUCCCCCUGCUUGUAAAGAUUAUUGACUCUUGUUUUGUUUUCCUUUCCAUUUUCAGCGAAUGCUAAUGGGAAUAACCAGAAUGCUGGAGAUCACAAUGCGAGCUCAGACUUGCUUACCUACGCUGUAAUCGAUCACACGAGACAGCCGGGAGGAGCCCCAGUCCGGUCAGGGGUCAGUGCUGUGGACAAUACAGAGUACGCCACUGUCCGGAUCCACUGAUAGGACACGUCUCACCCAGCCACCAGGGAUACAAGAGAGCUUCAACAACAAGAUGAACCAAGGACUUGACUAACAUUGAUUUACUGCAGCGCUUCAAUGAAUCAUACCAACUCUGAUGAGAACAAUAAACACAGCUAGCCACUAACAAGCAACCACCUGACAUUCUUAAUUCGAUCUGAACCAUUUCACUGCCACUGCUAAUAGAACGCUGUGGCCAUAUUUGCAAAGCAUUUCCUCCUGUUUUUGGAAAGUAUAACAUUCCAUGUUAAAAGGGUUUUAAAUCUUACCUGUUUAUUCGCUAUGCAGGUCACAUGUGUAGUUUUGAAAGAAGCACAUGUUAUAUAACAAGCGUGCUUUUUCCUUUUUUUAAAAUGUUAUCAUACUGGUACCAUACAGUCGUGUGCAAAUGUAUUAGAACACCAAGAUGUGUAAUUGAUAUCCUUCAUAUACGUACCUGCAUGAAAACCUCUGGGGGUGAGAAUUUCAAUUUUCAAUCAGUAAUCGAUGAUACAGAAACGAUAGACACUCAUGUGUGAAAAUGUUAGACCGCUUUGUGCUUCAAUUAGGCAUCUUAAACAACUUCUAAAAAGUCUCAUGCAUUUUAUCAUUAGCAGCUGUGUGUUCCUUUUCUCUUACUAUGUAAUUAAUUGCAUGUGUUGCCUAUUAAAGGCAUCAAUUAAAUUAGACAAUCGCUGUCCGUUUUGACAUUUUCCAGUGGUUUGAUUUCCUAUGCACAACAAAUCCACACAGCAGAAGCAAUGGGGUGUUGUAAUGCAGGUGCGCACUGCUGUACUAGUUUGCAUGCCUUACUUUGAUAACACACACACCAGUCCCAAGCUGAGCUCCUGCAGGUGGUGUGAUCCCAGCCUCACAGAAGAGAAGCCAGUCCUCCUCAUUGCAGUGUUCAUCCACAUUGUUAACGAGAGCCUUUACAGCAGGAGAUCGCUCACCAGCACAGAGAUGCGUCAUGAAAGAGGCCCCAGGGGCUCUGCUUCAUGACUGCAAGCCCUUGAAUGCAUGCGCGUGUAGCAGGGAGGGAGUAGGGGGGGGGGGUUAGGUAAGCAGUUGAAUUCUGGUCCUGAGCCUCACUUCCUUUUGCACCUGCUCUGAGACAGGCUGCUGUGUGUAAAACUUGACCGCUCUGCUGGAUUGGGGAGUAAAGCAAUACUUCCACAUUCAAACUCAUUUGAUUAGAUUGUAUAGGCCUGUGUUCAUUUAUUUCACUUUGAACAAACACUUGUGCUUGCUAAGGUUUGCUAGCUGUCUUCUCUCAUCCUUGUGGCAGCUGUGAUGUACCUUUAAUGCUUAUCUCAUCAGACCAUGUGGAAUAUUAAUAAACAUCGCCAUCGCUGCUUUGAA